rnacentral:misc_RNA from 1 species
GAUGAAGAACGCAGUGAAAUGCGAUAAGUAAUGUGAAUUGCAGAAUUCAGUGAAUCAUCGAAUCUUUGAACGCACAUUGCGCCCCUUGGUAUUCCGAGGGGCCUGCCUGUUCGAGCGUCAUUAUAACCCCUCAAGCUCAGCUUGGUGUUGGGGCCUGCUGCACUGGCAGCCCUUAAAAUCAGUGGCGGCGCCAUCUGGCUCUAAGCGUAGUAAUUCUUCUCGCUAUGGAGUCCUGGUGGAUGCUUGCCAUCAACCCCCAAUUUUUCUAUGGUUGACCUCGGAUCAGGUAGGGAUACCCGCUGAACUUAAGCAUAUCAAUAAGCGGAGGA